rnacentral:rRNA from 1 species
GAUGAACGCUAGCGGCAGGCUUAACACAUGCAAGUCGAGGGGUAGAGGUUGCUUGCAACCUUGAGACCGGCGCACGGGUGCGUAACGCGUAUGCAACCUACCUUUUACAGAGGGAUAGCCCAGAGAAAUUUGGAUUAAUACCUCAUAGUAUAUGUUUUUCGCAUGUUAGACAUAUUAAAGUUCCAACGGUAAAAGAUGGGCAUGCGUCCUAUUAGCUAGAUGGUAAGGUAACGGCUUACCAUGGCAACGAUAGGUAGGGGUCCUGAGAGGGAGAUCCCCCACACUGGUACUGAGACACAGACCAGACUCCUACGGGAGGCAGCAGUGAGGAAUAUUGGACAAUGGGCGCAAGCCUGAUCCAGCCAUGCCGCGUGCAGGAAGAAGCAUCUAUGGUGUGUAAACUGCUUUUGUACGGGAAGAAACACUCCUUCGUGAAGGAGCUUGACGGUACCGUAAGAAUAAGGAUCGGCUAACUCCGUGCCAGCAGCCGCCGUAAAAC